rnacentral:sRNA from 1 species
AAGAAACCGUAGGGUCACUAAUUUGGGA